rnacentral:rRNA from 1 species
AUUGAACGCUGGCGGCAGGCCUAACACAUGCAAGUCGAGCGGAUGAAGGGAGCUUGCUCCUGGAUUCAGCGGCGGACGGGUGAGUAAUGCCUAGGAAUCUGCCUGGUAGUGGGGGAUAACGUCCGGAAACGGGCGCUAAUACCGCAUACGUCCUGAGGGAGAAAGUGGGGGACCUUAGGACCUCACGCUAUCAGCUGAGACUAGGUCGGAUUAGCUAGUUGGUGGGGUAAAGGCCUACCAAGGCGACGAUCCGUAACUGAUCUGAGAGGAUGAUCAGUCACACUGGAACUGAGACACGGUCCAGACUCCUACGGGAGGCAGCAGUGGGGAAUAUUGGACAAUGGGCGAAAGCCUGAUCCAGCCAUGCCGCGUGUGUGAAGAAGGUCUUCGGAUUGUAAAGCACUUUAAGUUGGGAGGAAGGGCAGUAAGUUAAUACCUUGCUGUUUUGACGUUACCAACAGAAUAAGCACCGGCUAACUUCGUG